rnacentral:lncRNA from 1 species
AAAUAGUAUUCUUUCUUCGAGCUAGUGGCUCAAAUUCUAAAAUUGUCUUAGCUUCUUUCUUCGAGCUAUCAUUAAUCAACAUAUUUUGACAAACAAAGGAAAAUAACAUCAAUCAAAUCACAAGUAUGGUAAAUACAUCAAGAGUAUCAAACAAUACCACAAUCCCCCAUUAACAAUAUAUAUAAAGAGUGACAUAUAAGAAAGAAAGUAAAGCGACAGAGAAAGAAGAAGCUUUAUAGUUUGUAUUCUAAACCAAAGUCACGACAACACAUAAUUGAUUUUUAUGUGAUGAACAUGACCUAAAAUAUUCUACAAUCAUACUAUCCCCAAAAUAUUAGAAAAUGUUAAAAUAGUAAAGAUAUAACAUUUCCAUUCUCUUUAUGAUAAACUACUGUCAACUCCCAUGCUAAAUAAAACAAUAUGAAAAUUGAAUAUACUCCUAUGAACUAUUGAAGUCCAUGAAAAAAAUAUACUCAUUAAACAAAAAACACUAUUGAUCAAGGCAAAAUUAUGAAAAUUGAAUAAAAAUAUACAACAACCAUCCCCACAAUUUAAUUUCAAACUGAAUUAUAUGAAAAAGGAUAUUCUUUAAACAAAAAACACAAUUGAUCAACAAAAAUUAUCUCAAAGCAGCAAAAUUAUGAAGCUUUAGUCUUUAAAUUCAGAUCCACGACAAAUUAUAUAAAUCAUCAACAGGUUUGUUGGCUUUAGUCUUUAAAUUCAGAUCAACCAAGUGGAUUUUCCCAAACUAUAUGGGGUCACAGACAAUAAAACAUAAAGAUUUAAAGGAUAAGGCUUGAGGGGUUGCACUUUUAAGUUUUUUUGCUGUUUGUAAAAGGAACAAUUGAUUGAAGUUUGUCAUUCUGUUUUCUCUUGUAACAUCUCCAAAAAUAUUUAGCAAUUUAACAAAGAGAUUAGUAUAAAGCUAGCAGAAUGAUAGAGCCAAAACAUACCUAUUUAGCAAAUCUGAACCUUGUCCUUGACCUAUGCUAUAAAGAACAAACAGGUGAGUGAAGUUCGAUCCACCACAAUUUUUUCACUCAAUUCAGUUCAUUGAUCACUUGAAAUCUAACUUCCCA